ACUGGCAACAGCCUCUCCGCUUUCAGCGGUGCUGUCCCACCGACCUACGUAUCUGUCGUCAGUCCAGUUGUUAUUUCACCAGAUAUUGUGGUAUUUAUAAUCUCAAUUGAGUAUACGCUUAGUCUAGUUAGUAUACACCCGGUUCUUUUCGUUCAUUCUGCCUUUUAUCUUUCUCUGAAACGUCCAUAAGACCUGCUGACUAAGCUCGUAUACACAUAUCAGUUGUAUUUAUUGUACUGUCUCUCUGUUGUCGACUCCUAUCACUCAUACUAAGUACAUACCAACUUGUGUGUACUAUAUAUUGUGAACUCAGACCUCACUUAGUAGAUCUUAUUUUAAGACUGCAUUGUAAAGACUCAUCCAUAAUAUUAUCCCUCUCAAGAUCUCAUGAGUAUAUUCUCAUCUGCUUUUUUCGUUUUGUUCCUGCUACUAUUUUUUGUUUUGUACAUUCUACGAGUAUCAUUAGCUCCCAAUUAAGUCCAGUGAUGUGUUCUAUGCUUCAUCUUGUUAAUACAACAGCCGUUGUGACUCCUCCAUUAGCUAAGACAGUGUUUUCGUGGACAAUUCUGAAGGUAUCUGAUGAGGAGAGUACAAUAGAGGGAUUUUUUAGUAGCAAUGUCAGACCACGGCUCUCAUUUGCUUUUUGUGAGAUUGAG